rnacentral:sRNA from 1 species
GGGUUACUCCUUGGCGCUUGCGCGCUGUUUUGAUGAAGAUUCGCACCUCUAUCAAAACGGGUAACCCCGCCUCUUGGCAAGGCCUUACUGUCAGAUCAAGUCUGAACUUCUACAUGUCAUGCACUACCACACGCCGAUACAUGGCAGCCGACCGUUCCAGUAUGUACAUAUCGACCACACUGAACUGGACAUUGAACUAAUCUCCAGCCGCACGAGCAA